UCAACAAAAGAGGCUUCGAGUCCAAUAUUGCAGCUUUUAGAUAAUGGAAAUUUAGUACUGAGAGAUAGGGAAGAAGGAAAUUCAGAGAAUUAUCUAUGGCAAAGCUUUGAUAAUCCUUUAGAUACACUGUUACCAGGGAUGAAGUUUGGGUGGGACUUCAAGACUGGUCUUGACCGGCGUUUAUCCGCUUGGAAGAACUGGGAUGACCCAUCUCCUGAAGAUUUUACCUGGGGAAUAGAACGUACUAAUUACCCUAAAGCAGUCAUGUGGAAGGGCUCUGAGAAGUACUACAGGAGUGGCCCUUGGAAUGGCCUUCGUUUCAGCGAUGCUCCGGAGUUGAGAGGCAACCCGGUUUUCGAGUUCAGUUUCGUCAACAAUGAGAAUGAGGUAUACUACGAAUACCAUCUUCCAAAUAAAUCGAUAAUAUCAAGAAUCGUUAUGAACCAAACUAAAUAUUCCCGUGAACGCUAUAUAUGGAUCGCUGCAACCUCAACUUGGAGCCCGUAUUCAUAUGUGCCAAGAGACAACUGUGAUGACUACAACCUUUGUGGCGCCUAUGGAAAUUGUAUCAUUGGUGAGUCACCAGUCUGUCAAUGUUUAAAAGGAUUCCAGUCUAAAUCACAAGAAAGAUGGAACCCAGAGGACUGGUCUCAAGGAUGUGUGCGCAUUACUCAACUAAGCUGUCAAGAUAAAGAUAAACAUGGGUUUAUUAAAUUUGUUGGGCUAAAAUUGCCGGAGACUACAAAUUCCUGGGUAAACGAGAGUAUGAAUCUUGAGGAAUGCAGGACUAAAUGCUUGAGUAAUUGUUCCUGUAUGGCUUAUACAAAUUCAGAUAUCAGAGGAAGAGGCAGUGGCUGCACCCUCUGGUAUGGUGAUCUUCUAGAUAUUAGGCAGUUUCCAACCGGUUGACAGAAUCUAUAUGUUCGAAUGCCUGCUUCCGAACUAGAGAUGGAGGUUGGUCGUAACAAGAGGACGGCAGCGAUAGUUGGGGCAUCCGUCACAGUUGUUUUUGGGAUGCUUUUAGUGAGCUAUCGCAUUUGCAGCAGGAAAAGCUUAAAAAGGUAAAAUUAAGUAGACUGAUGACGUGAGAAUUUUAUGUCCAUCUCGUAUUCUAAAGUGAAGCUCACUAUGAAUUUUACUUUUUUUCAUGAGGGGAAACAGCGAAAAGUGUAUUAAUUGGUCAAAACAGGGAAGUCCAAGAAGAAGACAUGGAGCUUCCAAUGUUGGACCUAUCCAUAAUAUCUAGAGCCACUGAUGGUUUUUCAGUCACCAACAAGCUCGGAGAAGGUGGUUUUGGACCCGUAUACAGGGGUGUACUAGCAGAUGGACAAGAAGUUGCUAUGAAGAGGCUUUCGAGAAUCUCUGGACAAGGACCGGAUGAGUUCAGAAAUGAAGUGAAACUGAUAGCCAAACUUCAGCACCGAAAUCUAGUAAAGCUUCUCGGUUGUUGU